UACGGAGGGUGCAAGCGUUAUCCGGAUUUACUGGGUUUAAAGGGCGCGUAGGUGGAUAAUUAAGUCAGUGGUGAAAUCUUCAGGCUUAACCUGGAAACUGCCAUUGAUACUAUUUAUCUUGAAUACUUUGGAGGUAAGCGGAAUAUGUCAUGUAGCGGUGAAAUGCUUAGAUAUGACAUAGAACACCAAUUGCGAAGGCAGCUUACUACACAGUAAUUGACACUGAGGCACGAAAGCGUGGGGAGCAAACAGG
rnacentral:rRNA from 1 species